CAUGAAACGUGAGCAAUCACGCCUUUUGGCAGUAAGCGCCAUUUUGGCAGUAAGUGUCGCGCGUCAUCUGGCGUGAUAGCCUUGCGAAAAUCGCGGACACGAAAAUCAUAGAGAUAGAUACACAGUGAGACAUCUGGUAUGAUCUAUAAUCUAUGAUUGAGGGAAAAAUACUGAAGAAAAUAACUUGGUAAGUGUCUUGUUUUGAGGUAAGGUUAGUUGUAAAAGCUUAAAACAACCCGACCAUUUGAUUUUAGUCAUUUUCAUAGUGCACGACGAUGAAAUGCACAUGCACAAACUUUAUAGUACUUUUAUAUAGGCAUUGCAUUUUGAUAUUUUUCUCUAUAUUUUCAGUAUAUAUGAAACAAGAAACCACGGUCAUACUGUAAUAAAAGCCGUCAAUAAAACAAAACAUUUAAUUCUCAAAUUUUUCCAAUUACACUCUAAAUUUCUGUCAGAGUCUUUUUAACUUUGAAAUUUGAUAUGUCAAAAACGCUAUCAUAUCAUCACUGCUAUAUAUAUAAACAAUUCCUAUUGUGUUUUAACAAGGUCAACCAAAUACUUGAUCAGUUUACACACCAAGAAUGAUGUAUUUACUGCAUAUAAUAUGUGAUGGAUAGAUUAUAGGUAGGUAGGCAAGAGUGCAUACAGUUAAAUAAUUAGCCAUUUCUCAUAUUUCCUUUUAUUUCCUGGUUAAGCAGGUGACUAUAAUUGUCAUGGAAGGUAUAUGAAGGAGGUAGCUAUGAUUUUAUCACAUGGCUAUGGGGGAUAAUUAUGACCAUUAUUAUGCUCACAUGUAAUUAUUGUCUCAUUUUUAUCCUUUUUGUAGUGUAAACUUAAGUAUAAAAAUAAAGAUCUAUGAACAUGUCAGACAAAUUAUAUACAAUGGGUGAUCACUUGGUAAGUAAUUUUUAUACCUUUGUUGUGGUCUGUGUAGAUGGAGGCUAUUUUGGCAAUAGCCAUGCACUUAGACAUAUAGCAUGACCAGUCCAUAUGUGGACUGCCUAUGUCUAUUAAACAUGAUUGAAUACCCAAAUUAGAUUCAAGAUUAUGAUAUGUCCCAGGCAUGGAUCCAAAAAUGACCAUGUACUGAAGUUAUAUGGCAUAAGCCAUGUAAAAUAUGGUGGGAAACAUACAAUUGGGGCUGCAUCCCACCAUAAUGCACUAGUCAAUUGAAACCCCGACCCCCGGGAUAGGGCGGGGAAAUUAACAUUUUGGCAAUGUUAAAUUUUGGACAUUUCCCUGCUACCGGGAGAAUAUUGACUGUUAAAAUUACUGUCCCUAUGGCCCCAGCACUAAUUUGCAAAUUUUCAUGACUUGGGAAAUUUUCAUGACUUGGGAAUUGUCCUGGCUAAUAAAUUGACUUGUUAUUUACCCUGUACCCCGGGGGAAAUGCUGCAUUAAGACCGUGUUAAUCCACGGCCAUUCCCCCAUUAAUUCCCCGCCCUGUCCCGGGGGUCGGGGGUUUCAAUUGACUAGUGCAUGCAUAAACAUUGCAAAGGUCCAUUUUGUAAAUUAAUGGCACUAUGUAUUUUUAAAUCUUAAUUUAUAGGGCCUGUGAGUUCAUAUCUGGAAUAAAAUAGUGGCAAAUCUACAGAAAUAUCACUGCUAAGGAGUGUCAAACAAAUUCAGGAGGACUGAAUUAACUGGAUGUUCUCAGGAUGAAAAAGAAAUUGUUGACUUUAAUUGAAUAAUCAUUAAUAUCAUUACUG